rnacentral:snoRNA from 1 species
NACUAGAGGAGUGUGAUCGAAAGUGUCUGGUCUCGCAAGCCACGAGGAGGAGCGGCAGUGUUCUCUCCUGAGCGYGAAGCGGGCGGGCGGUGCUGCUGGUGGCAGCGGCCGUUGGCCAUUGAUGACCGUUCCUGCUGCUCUCGGGCAGCRGGAGGGAGAGAGCACGGGCUGAGUGGU